GGUCCAGUGGCUUAGCUUGGUAAGCGAGCAUAGAUUCUCUAAGCUUGGUCACAAGCGCAGGUCUUAUAAGCCUGAUACCGUGGGUUCAAAUCCCACCUGGACCA
rnacentral:tRNA from 1 species